GCCGUCUUAGCUCAGUAGGUAGAGCGCAGCCAUGGUAAGGCUGAGGUCGUCGGUUCAAACCCGAUAGACGGCU
rnacentral:tRNA from 1 species